rnacentral:lncRNA from 1 species
CGAUAGAGAGAAAGCCGCCUUUACCGUCACGGCUCAAGCAAUGCACGAUCACGUUCUUGGUUACACCCAAGGAGCUGAGCUGCGAGGAGAUGCUUACUUUGCCACGGCCGAGGCCGAGGAUCCCGGCUGUUGGAGGUGGAGGGUGUGGGCCAGGGCUCUGCUGAUCGUACCCGCAUCCGAAGGUCAAGUGGGGAUGCAUAGUGGAGCCGUUCUCGAGUCUGAGAGGGAACUCGUCAGAGACGAGAACGCCAACGGAGGAAGCGUGGUCUGAGUAGCCAAUCUCGUAGUCACACUGUCAGCUUUUAUUCAGUUACUCAAUAUAUAAUAUCUUAAAUUAUUUUUUAAAAAAUAUACAUAAUUUAUAUAUAUAGAUUAAUCUUCCAAACUUAAACUAUUAUGUUAUAUAUGAAUAAUGUUUUUAAAUAAAAAUAAUUUCUGAUUUAAAUAAAAACAACAAAUGGUUAUUUUCAAAUAAUGGAUGUAAUUUACAUUAUACUAUCAUUUAACAAGUAUUAGAUACGUUUUGAUAUAUCAUUAUUUUCUAUUUCCAGAAAACAAUAAAUUGUUAAACAUCAAUAUCAUCUAGGUUAAGUAUACGAACAACACAAAUUCAAACAUCACAAAAAAUAUUUACAUAAACAUUAUCAUACAAUAAUUUAAUCAAAAAAUGCAAUUCAAAAAAAAACAAUAUUCAAAAGAAUAGUUAUAUAUUUAAUAUUUGAAAAUCAAAGAUAUUUUUGCUAAAAUUGUACUUACCUGGCCAAGGAGAUCGACCAUCUUUUUACGGAUCGACAGAUUGUUGAGCAUGUGGUCGAUCCGAAAAUACUCUGCAGAUUAAUUAAAUAUCUAAAACAUUUAUUCCAACACUCAACAGAUAGUUUUGCUAAAUAUGAUAACUAUAUAGCCAACAAAAUUACAAAAAAAUAUUUAAAUAGUAAAAAAUAUGUUAAUUUAACGUGUUAAAAUUUUAAAAUAAAUUUUAAUUAUGACAUGCAUCUUAACAUUUUAUAAAUAUAUAUCAAAAUACAAAUAAUUUAACAACUUAAAUUAGAAAAAAAUAAAAAUCCCGGGCGUAGCCCGGGUUAAUCGUUAGUCUCUUUUAAAGAUAAAAUGUCCUUAGAUUUGAUUGACUGGAAAUUAAAAACAAUAAAAAUAAACACAUAUGUACAAUAACUUUUAAAUGACAGACUUACGUUUUUAGACGAAUAUGCUCUUUUAUAGACAAACAGAUUUGUAAAUACCCAAUUUGCUUCAUUGAAGUUGUUGACACACUCGUUUUCUCCGGUAGAAUGUUAGGCUUUUGGGUUGUCUUUACACAAAUUUUGAAAACUGCAUCACAUCAUUAUUUGUUAGCUUUGGGGUGAGAUUCUUCAAGUAUAUGACGGCUAUUUUACCAAAAAAAAAAGUAUAUGAUGUCUACAAAAAUGAAAGAAAGGAUUUUAAAAGAGUAACACGAGAAAGAGAGAAUCAAAGAACAAAUAACGAUACCACUGGUUUCAGAUUAUGCACGAUUCUCUUCUUGUAUUCUGGUUGUUGCAGAGAAUGUUCCUUCAUUUUGUUUGUAAUUUAGGCUUUUCCUUUAAAUGCCAAUUUGCCUCAAAUAGAAACCUUGCAUGCCGGUGUUGGAAUAUUUGUUGAUUUGAGUAGGAGAGAAUUUUUUUUUUUUUCAGUGUUGGACAUAAAUUAUUACACGAACAUAAAUAACACCUCACACAUAUAAAUGGUGAAAUAAAGGUAGUUUUUCAGAGAUUGCUGGUAAGUGGUGAUCGUGGAGUGGAGGUGUGGAAAAAAAUUGUUGGAGUAUUAUGAUUUAGUAAUUACUUAUAUUGUAAUAAUGUAAACUGACAUGUAAUUCUGUUAAGCCUUAAUAGCGUGUUUUAUCUUUUGCUUUAUUUGAUUUUAUCUUUGUUUUAUUAUUUUAAAUAUAAUUUUGUAAUAAUCCAUGUGUCAAAAUUUUAUUGGUCAUGUGACUUGCGCUUUAGUAUAUAGAAGAUACCGAAAAAAUUCCUUGUUUCUAUGAAAACAGCAUAACAAAACAUCCUUAUUUCACUACUAGUAAAGACUCUUCUUCUUCUCUUGUGUCAAAGCUCUCCAUCUUUCUUGUUCUUAGAAGCAUCAGUUCCUGUGAAGAGCUCUCCCAUCAAACCAAAACCUCUCGGAUAUGCCUCCUCCUCCGACAAGUCUCCUCCAUUGUCUUGAUCCACACUGUUUAAAGAAAAAAAAACAGUUUUAUAGAUUUGAUGGAAACAGCAACAAGAAAGAGAGGCGAACAAGAAGGUUCAGAACUUGGGAAGCUUGUCACAGUCUGAAGGGAUCCAUCCAAUCCUCUGCUUCUCAUUGUCGUAGAUCACCAUUAUCCCUUGAAAAGAUAUGUCUAUCACACACACACACACACACACACACACAUAGCCAUAAGACAUUUGUUGUCAAAAGUAAUAAACAAUUAAACAUAAAAAAAAAAACUUGGUUUAUCUCUUUUACUAACCCCCAAUGAUGUUGUAGUUCUCAAGCCCAAUCUCAGUUCCGUUUAGAAUCCCCAAACACACGUUUCCCUUUUCCUGAAUAAACAAACUCUCAAGUCUCAGACACUGCACUAGGUCCUGUAUCGUCAGCAUAUAUAGGUAAACUCACAGUGAUGAUGAGAUAAGACUCUGGAGGAAUCUGAAACACCUGACCGUUCUUCUGACUCCCACCAAACCGUAAACUAAUCGUCUUGAAGUAUUUCUUCACAUCAUGCACCGACUUCAAAGCCCUUUUGUCUUUCCAACACACCGGUAAGCUCUUAUCUUCCUUACUAUCCUUCAAAGCCUUCCCCUUCAAGUCCUUUCUCACAAGCUCAAGAACCGCUUGGUACGCCUCGGCGUUGAAGUAAGUGUAGGAGCUCCCACUAUCGAAAACGAAGCUAACGCCUUUGACACCAGUGGCCUUGUCGUCAAAGAGAAUCUCCGCUGGUCCCGUCUUGUAGUUUUUACUAGGCGGCUUGAGAGCCAGCGAAGUCCAUGUGACACCAGAGGAAGGAACAAGCUCGUCUCCGAUAGAGAGAAAGCCGCCUUUACCGUCACGGCUCAAGCAAUGCACGAUCACGUUCUUGGUUACACCCAAGGAGCUGAGCUGCGAGGAGAUGCUUACUUUGCCACGGCCGAGGCCGAGGAUCCCGGCUGUUGGAGGUGGAGGGUGUGGGCCAGGGCUCUGCUGAUCGUACCCGCAUCCGAAGGUCAAGUGGGGAUGCAUAGUGGAGCCGUUCUCGAGUCUGAGAGGGAACUCGUCAGAGACGAGAACGCCAACGGAGGAAGCGUGGUCUGAGUAGCCAAUCUCGUAGUCACACUGGUCCUCAGGGUCGUCACAAGGUUUGCU